rnacentral:rRNA from 1 species
GAGAUUUUCGCAAUGCCCGAAAGGGUGACGAAGCGACGCCGCGUGCGGGAAGAAGGCCUUCGGGUUGUAAACCGCUGUCGGGAGUUAAGAAAUGUAAGGAUGUUAAUAGCAUCUUUGCUUGACUAAGGCUCCGGAGGAAGCCACGGCUAACUCUGUGCCAGCAGCCGCGGUAAUACAGAGGCGGCAAGCGUUGUUCGGAAUUAUUGGGCGUAAAGAGCACGUAGGCGGCUAUGUAAGUCGGUUGUGAAAGCCUUCCGCUCAACGGGAGAACAGCAUCCGAUACUGCAUGGCUUGAGUGCGGGAGGGGAGAGUGGAACUUCUGGUGGAGCGGUGAAAUGCGUAGAUAUCGGAAGGAACGCCGGCGGCGAAAGCGGCUCUCUGGCCCAUAACUGACGCUGAGUGUGCGAAAGCUAGGGGAGCAAACGGGAUUAGAUACCCCGGUAGUCCUAGCCGUAAACGAUGGGCACUAAGUAGAGGGGUA